AUCUCUUUCAGUCACCAAGAUGUGGUGUAUGAUCACAGAACUUUUCUCUGAAGGCAAAUAUUCUUUCAAAAGAAUCAGUUGAACUGAAGUAUCGCCAUAAGUGUGGUCACCGAUUUCUUGAUGAGUACAUUUUAAUGAAAUAAGGUGACCAUGGAAAAUGUAUCAGCUGUGACAUCCUUCAUUUUGACAGCAUACGCUGAACUGGAAGAUCACAGAUA